rnacentral:rRNA from 1 species
GACGGAGGGUGCAAGCGUUGUUCGGAAUUACUGGGCGUAAAGGGCGCGUAGGCGGCCUUCUAAGUCGAACGUGAAAUCCCCGGGCUCAACCCGGGAACUGCGUCCGAUACUGGAAGGCUUGAAUCCGGGAGAGGGAUGCGGAAGUUCCAGGUGUAGCGGUGAAAUGCGUAGAUAUCUGGAGGAACACCGAUGGCGAAGGCAGGUCGUCUGGGCCAUAACUGACGCUGAGAGCGGAAAGC